AGAGUUUGAUCCUGGCUCAGAAUGAACGCUGGCGGCGUGCUUAACACAUGCAAGUCGUACGAGAACGCUUCAGCUUGCUGAAGCUAGUAAAGUGGCGUACGGGUGAGUAACGCGUGGGUAAUCUACCUUCGAAUUGGGGAUAACGUUGCGAAAGUGACGCUAAUACCGGAUAAUAUCAUAGAGACCUUGGUUUUUAUGAUCAAAGAUGGCCUCUCCUUGGAAGCUAUUGUUUGGAGAUGAGCCCGCGUCCCAUUAGCUUGUUGGUGGGGUAAUGGCCUACCAAGGCAACGAUGGGUAGCUGGUCUGAGAGGAUGAUCAGCCACACUGGAACUGACACACGGUCCAGACUCCUACGGGAGGCAGCAGUGAGGAAUUUUGCGCAAUGGGGGAAACCCUGACGCAGCAACGCCGCGUGAGUGAUGAAGGCUUUCGGGUCGUAAAGCUCUGUCAAGUGGGAAGAACUCCCGUGAGGUUAAUACCCUCAUGGUUUGACGGUACCACUGAAGGAAGCACCGGCUAACUCCGUGCCAGCAGCCGCGGUAAUACGGGGGGUGCAAGCGUUAUUCGGAUUUACUGGGCGUAAAGCGCGCGUAGGCGGCCGUUUAAGUCAGAUGUGAAAGCCCGGGGCUCAACCCCGGAAGUGCAUUUGAUACUAUUCGGCUUGAGUAUGGGAGAGGGAAGUGGAAUUCCUGGUGUAGAGGUGAAAUUCGUAGAUAUCAGGAGGAACACCGGUGGCGAAGGCGACUUCCUGGACCAAUACUGACGCUGAGGCGCGAAGGCGUGGGUAGCAGACAGGAUUAGAUACCCUGGUAGUCCACGCAGUAAACGGUGAUCACUAGGUGUAGCGGGUAUUGACCCCUGCUGUGCCGCAGCUAACGCAUUAAGUGAUCCGCCUGGGGAGUACGGCCGCAAGGUUAAAACUCAAAGGAAUUGACGGGGGCCCGCACAAGCGGUGGAGCAUGUGGUUUAAUUCGACGCAACGCGAAGAACCUUACCUGGAUUUGACAUCUCGGGAAUUUCUAUGAAAGUAGGAAGUGCCCUUCGGGGAGCCCGAUGACAGGUGCUGCAUGGCUGUCGUCAGCUCGUGUCGUGAGAUGUUGGGUUAAGUCCCGCAACGAGCGACAGGCAAGUCGUACUAGAGACCUCAAGCAUUAAUCUUCAUCUUUGCCCCCCUAGAUCGGAAGAGCACACGUCUGAACUCCAGUCACAUCUCGUAUGCCG
rnacentral:rRNA from 1 species